AACGAACGCUGGCGGCGUGCCUAACACAUGCAAGUCGAACGGAUUGAAGGGGCUUGCUCCUUCAGUUAGUGGCGCACGGGUGAGUAACGCGUAGAUAAUCUGCCUGAUGAUCUGGGAUAACAGUUCGAAAUGACUGCUAAUACCGGAUAAGCCCACGUGGUAUUUGGACUGUGCGGGAAAAGGGGGGGACCUUCGGGCCUUCUGUCAUCAGACUAGUCUGCGUACCAUUAGCUAGUUGGUAGGGUAAUGGCCUACCAAGGCUACGAUGGUUAGCUGGUUUGAGAGAAUGAUCAGCCACACUGGAACUGAGACACGGUCCAGACUCCUACGGGAGGCAGCAGUGGGGAAUUUUGCGCAAUGGGCGAAAGCCUGACGCAGCAACGCCGCGUGAGUGAUGAAGGCUCUUGGGUCGUAAAGCUCUGACAGAGGGAAAGAAGUGUAUGGUGGUUAAUACCCAUUGUACUUGACGGUACCCUCAAAGGAAGCACCGGCUAACUCCGUGCCAGCAGCCGCAGUAACAC
rnacentral:rRNA from 1 species